GAUGAUUCAACUUGUCGCGUUGAGCUGGGUGACCUAUUUGCCGUUGUAGCCAGGAGGGCGUUUGAGGCUGUUAAGGUCCAUUGUAAGCUUGUAAAUCGUUGACCGAAAUGUCCAUGAUUAAUCUAUGAAAUAAUUCAGUUAUUUCCACUCGGUAAGAAAGGAGAAGAAUAGUGAAAAAAAAAAAAACUUUUAAUGACUCAGAGAAAAUCCUGUAAGGCUAACAGACUUAUUCACCUUAUGGC
rnacentral:lncRNA from 1 species